AUUGAACGCUGGCGGCAGGCCUAACACAUGCAAGUCGAACGAGUGGCGGACGGGGGAGUAAUGUCUGGGAAACUGCCUGAUGGUGGGGGAUAACUACUGGAAACGGUAGCUAAUACCGCAUACCAUCAGAUGUGCCCAGAUGGGAUUAGCUUGUUGGUGGGGUAACGGCUCACCAAGGCGACGAUCCCUAGCUGGUCUGAGCGGAUGACCAGCCACACUGGAACUGAGACACGGUCACGGCUCUUACGGGAGGCAGCAGGAGGGAAUAUUGCACAAUGGGCGCAAGCCGGAUGCAGCCAUGCCGCGUGUAUGAAGAAGGCCAUCGAGUUGUAAAGUACUUUCAGCAGGGUGGCGUUACCCGCAGAAGAAGCACCGGCUAACUCCGUGCCAGCAGCCGCGGUAAUUC
rnacentral:rRNA from 1 species